GUAACGCUGUCGCUUGUAUAAUUAAAAAAAAAAAUGAAACAAAUGGAGGAGAUCAAGCGAUCCUCGGCCGCCAUUGAAGAGAGAGAUUUGGUAACAAGUGGAGGAGAUCAAGCUUCAUUGACGUCGUGGCCGAGGAGGAGGAGGACGACGUUGAAUACGGCCCCUAUCGUGGUGGUGGCGGUGGGAGUCGUAAGCGGAGCAAAAAGAGGCUCUCCAAUGUGGGUUUUCUUGAUCUCGAAGCGGUGGUCGAUUCAGAUAAGGAGGAAGAGGAGGAUGAGUGUUGAAGCUUUUAAUCUUCUCGGCCUCCGUCUACAAAACCCUGGCACCUCCAUCAACCCCAAUUUCUCUUCGGGGAUCUGUAGGAACCCAAAGCAUCAAAUUCGAUUAUGUCCUUCAGUGGCUCAAUCACCGUAAUGCUCCCCAAUGCGAGGAUAAUUAUGAGGGACAUAUGGUUGCUUUUGCUGGGCAUAAAUAUGCUACAAGGUCUACUGCUAAUUUGUUGCCAAUACUACCUACAUUGUCACCAGCUUUACUCUUAAAUAGUAUCCUCAAAAGAUGAAUGCAGAUUUUGGUUCAUUGCCAUCCAAAGACAAGUAUAAGAAUAAGGUGCAUGUUUUUUAUUGCUGUUAUUUCUAUCUUUGCUAUGCUUUUAGUCUCCUUGUAUGAGUAUCUUUUGAUCUUUUGCAUACGUGCAUCCUUCGGUGUUCAUAAAACUGUUGAUUUAUUAGUGUUGUGGUCUAUAUCUUUGAUCAGGCAUAAAUGUUGUUCAAGAAACUUUGCUUUAAGAAUCAUGCUCUUUCUCAUUUCCACUUCACUUUAAAACCUGUAUACUUCUCAAUCAUAAGUUUUAUCUAUGGUUACAAAAGUUAAUUUAUCUCUUUGGUAUUUACUUGCUAUUUGCUAUCUGUGGGAUAUAUUAUUAAGGAUAUGUCUCUAUUUUGCUUGUGGGGCUCUUCAAAAGCACAAGUCAUGGAUCAGUAAAUGAAGAAGAAGCUGAUAGGAUUGUAUUACUUCCUGGGCAACCCAAGGUCUCCUUCCAAUAGUUUUCGGGUUUCGGGUGAAGAAUGUUACAAGCAAGGAGGAUGUUAGUCAUAAAUAUGGUUCAGAAGUUUUGGUCACUAGCUUCGUGUGUAACUCUUAAUUUCAACAAGAAGCUUAGUAGUUUUAGGUAUUUUGAUGCUCGUAAUUUUGCAAAACCUUUGGUUGGUCUUACAAUUGUGAUUGUUGAUUUGUAAUUGAACUGAGUUCAUAUGAUAUUUUAACAUUUUUCAAUUUAUAAUUUUUGCAGUA